rfam:Ovis aries breed Texel chromosome 1, whole genome shotgun sequence.
UCCCUGGUGGCUCAGAUGGUAAAGCGUCUGCCUACAAUGCAGGAGACCCAGGUUCAAUCCCUGGUUCAGAAA